rnacentral:misc_RNA from 1 species
UUAAGUUCAGCGGGUAUUCCUACCUGAUCCGAGGUCAACCUUAGAAAAUUGGGUUGUUGGUCGCCAACCGGAGGGAACCCUCAGCGAGAUAUUUACUACGCUCGGGACCCAACGGUGCCGCCACUGAGUUUGAGGUUCACCAUUGCUGGCGUGACCCAAUACCAAGCUGAGCUUGAGUGGUGUUAAUGACGCUCGAACAG